UACGUAGGGUGCAAGCGUUAUUCGGAAUUAUUGGGCGUAAAGCGCAUGCAGGCGGUCUGGUAAGUCUGGUGUGAAAUCCCUCGACUUAAUCGAGGAAGUGCAUUGGAUACUGCUGGACUAGAGUGCAGGAGGGGUGAGCGGAAUUCCUGGUGUAGAGGUGAAAUUCGUAGAUAUCAGGAGGAACAACAGAGGCGAAGGCGGCUCACUGGACUGUAACUGACGCUCAGAUGCGAUAGUGUGGGGAG
rnacentral:rRNA from 1 species